rnacentral:rRNA from 1 species
AUACGGAGGGUGCAAGCGUUGUCCGGAUUUAUUGGGUUUAAAGGGUCCGUAGGCGGAUCUGUAAGUCAGUGGUGAAAUCUCAUAGCUUAACUAUGAAACUGCCAUUGAUACUGCAGGUCUUGAGUAAGGUAGAAGUAGCUGGAAUAAGUAGUGUAGCGGUGAAAUGCAUAGAUAUUACUUAGAACACCAAUUGCGAAGGCAGGUUACUAUGUCUUAACUGACGCUGAUGGACGAAAGCGUGGGGAGCGAACAGGAUUAGAAACCCUGGUAGUCC